GACGAACGCUGGCGGCGUGCUUAACACAUGCAAGUCGAACGGAAAGGCCCUGCUUUUGUGGGGUGCUCGAGUGGCGAACGGGUGAGUAACACGUGAGUAACCUGCCCUUGACUUUGGGAUAACUUCAGGAAACUGGGGCUAAUACCGGAUAGGAGCUCCUGCUGCAUGGUGGGGGUUGGAAAGUUUCGGCGGUUGGGGAUGGACUCGCGGCUUAUCAGCUUGUUGGUGGGGUAGUGGCUUACCAAGGGUUUGACGGGUAGCCGGCCUGAGAGGGUGACCGGCCACAUUGGUACUGAGAUACGGCCCAGUCUCCUACGGGAGGCAGCAGUGGGGAAUAUUGCACAAUGGGCGGAAGCCUGAUGCAGCAACGCCGCGUGCGGGAUGACGGCCUUCGGGUUGUAAACCGCUGUCGCCUGUGACGAAGCGUGAGUGACGGUAAUGGGUAAAGAAGCACCGGCUAACUACGUG
rnacentral:rRNA from 1 species